rnacentral:rRNA from 1 species
AUCCCUGGCUCAGGAUGAACGCUGGCGGCGUGCUUAACACAUGCAAGUCGAACGGUGAAGCCAAGCUUGCUUGGUGGAUCAGUGGCGAACGGGUGAGUAACACGUGAGCAACCUGCCCUGGACUCUGGGAUAAGCGCUGGAAACGGCGUCUAAUACUGGAUAUGAGCUCCUAUCGCAUGGUGGGGGUUGGAAAGAUUUUUCGGUCUGGGAUGGGCUCGCGGCCUAUCAGCUUGUUGGUGAGGUAAUGGCUCACCAAGGCGUCGACGGGUAGCCGGCCUGAGAGGGUGACCGGCCACACUGGGACUGAGACACGGCCCAGACUCCUACGGGAGGCAGCAGUGGGGAAUAUUGCACAAUGGGCGGAAGCCUGAUGCAGCAACGCCGCGUGAGGGAUGACGGCCUUCGGGUUGUAAACCUCUUUUAGCAGGGAAGAAGCGAGAGUGACGGUACCUGCAGAAAAAGCGCCGGCUAACU